rnacentral:rRNA from 1 species
GAUUAACGCUGGCGGCGUGCCUAACACAUGCAAGUCGAACGAUGAAACUUAAAUGAUUUCUUCGGAAUGAACUUAAGUGGAUUAGUGGCGGACGGGUGAGUAACUCGUGAGUAACCUGCCAUACACAAGGGAAUAGCCGUUGGAAACGACGAAUAAUACUCUAUGAAACUAUCACUUCGCAUGAAGCGAUCGUCAAAGUGUUAGUGGUGUAAGAUGGACUUGCGUCUGAUUAGCUAGAUGGUGAGAAAGAAGCCCACCAAGGCCACGAUCAGUAGCCGGCUUGAGAGAGUGUACGGCCACAUUGGGACUGAGACAAGGCCCAGACUCCUAGGAGAGGCAGCAGGGGGGAAGGUUGCACACUGGGGGAGACCCUGAUGCAGCGAGGCCGUGAGAUUUAGAUGGCCUUCGGGUUGUAAUAAUCAUUUGUAUGGGAAGAAAAUGACAGUACUAUACGAAUAAGGUCCGGCUAACUACGUG